rnacentral:lncRNA from 1 species
UAACGAUUCAGUAUGGCAAUUUGUUGUUGCCACUGGUGACAUCAGCUGCCACGCAAGAGCAUCGUGAUGGAGUGCUGGGACUUGGGCGUCAUCGCCUCAUUGGUGGCACUUUACUCAUCGCUUCCGUCGUCACCGAAGAUCAGGGCCGUUACAUUUGAUUCGUCAACAGUUCCAUUGGAUUAGUCGAAUCACGUACCGAACUCAUUUUUCGUGUCAAAUUACAAGUCAGAAUCGUUGAACGUCGUCGUCGCCGCAUAGAAUGCACAGCACAUUUAAGUCACCGAUCCAGAAACGUCCGUCACCAUCACGUGUCAUUUCUCCGGCCGGUUGUCAGUUGGCUCAAAGAUGGCCAGCGCUUCUUGGUGGGUAAUAGUGGUCGUGUUUCUUCUUCAUCCGGCGACGACGGCUACACCGAUAUGGUCCAGUUAUCCAUUUCGUCCGUCCAACGUGAAGAUGAGGGAAUAUACCAAUGCCUGGCAUCCAAUGACGAAGGAGAUUGGGCCAAGCAUCAGCCCAUCUGGCCAUUGGAGCAUUUCAUCCUCAUUUGAAAGAAACGUUCAGUCGGCAAGUUGUACAUCCGGGAAGUUCAGUCUCGUUGAAAUGUUUAGCCUCUGGCACUCCGCUGCCUCAUUUCACUUGGACGCUGGACGGGUUUCCGUUAUCGCCCGUUUCCGAACGAUAUUUCCUCGGCCAGCAGCAACAAACGGGUCACGACGAUCUUGUAGUGGCUCAUCUCAACAUAACCCACGUCCGAGUCGAAGACGGAGGCAAUUACAAAUUUGACGAUCGAUCCGUUGGAUAAGAGCAGCGACGCCGGUCUUUAUAGUUGCGAGGUGCGUGGCCAGAACGGACUCUCGGCUCGCCAGUCACUUCAACUCAACAUCCUCGGUAGAUUCUUUGCUGCGUCAUAGCUCGGGAGUCGUAACGGGCAAUACCCUUGUGCAUUAAGUUGGUGAACUCUUGUGUUCCAUUGGGAAAAUAUUUCAAAUUGAUUUAUUUGCAUGUUACGGAGUUUGGUUUUUUUUCUGAUCUGUGGAGCCUGACAUUUUCCACAAUUUCUAUCGGCGGACAAAAUGUCUUUUAGGAUUGGUAGCAGCUUACGAAGCAGUAGGUUCCAACAUCAUCUAACGUCUGCUUUAGUAAUGGCAGGGAUGUGAAUAAUAAUUUGUGAAAUCAAACAACUUAAGCAGGUGCCUAGCUCAACAACUCCUAUGAAAUCUAGAUUGGUGGUGGUAGUUAUAGGGCGCCUGUUCAGGCAACAGUUUCGUUUUUUAAUCCGCCAAGGAUUUAUGCGUUAUUGCGUCUACUGUGUAGCCUGAGUAGCAUACGCAAGGGGGCAUUUAUCUACAUUCCUGAUCACCAAGCAGUUACAAAUAUGUUCUACACUGAUAAGCAUCAGAGGCAAAGGGCGAGCUGAACUAGUCUAUUGCCCCUCAACUCCAGAGGGCACUAGUUUACAGCAACUCGGGCUCACCCUUUGGAGAGUGGAUUCUCAUUUCUUCUUCAUACCAGCGAGCAGAUUUGAGGUUAAAAAUUGUUUUAGGUUGUUAAGCAAGUCUGACUUUCUACGAUGUGCAUGACCGCCAAACUUUGUCGUUAUGUCUGACUGUUAAUCGGUAAGAAAAACGGCGAAUUAUUGACGAUACGUUUGUCAAAAUGGCAAAUACAACGCCUAACGAUUUAAAUCUAACUUGGGAUAAUCUACUUCUCGGACAAGGUACUUUGAGACCGGAUCUAAUUGAGUCCGCUUUCCAUAUGGCUUCUUCGCGCACUGUUGCCAUGAAGACUCGUCAUAACGAUUCCGAAAUGGUUCGUCAAUUUCGCAUUCACGGCCGUGUAGUAGAACCUAUUAAAGACUUCCUUAAAGAUGAAGUAAGAGCCUUAGGUCGUGAGCUGGGUUUGCCCGCACAAUUACUGGAACGUUACCCGUUUCCUGGUCCCGGCUUGUCAAUUUGAAUCAUUUACGCCGAAGAGCCGUACUUGGAAGCUAAUUUCGAUGAGACGCAAGUGCUGAUUCGUUCGAUGGUCCAUUAUGCCAACAUAGCAGCCAAGGAACAUGCCUUGCUCAAUCGGAUUGAAAUCGUGACGUCGGAAGAAGAACGUCUUCUUCUGGGAGAAAUGUCUAGUCGCAACCAGUAUGUUGCCACGCUACUGCCUAUUCGCACUGUCGGUGUUCAGGUACAGGAGGUUGCAGAAAAAUGUGUCGGGUAUGGCAAACAAAGCAUAGGGAAAACCGCCACAUUUUUCUGCAAUAUACUGUACAACAGAUUCGCAAUUUAGACGUUGUCGUAAUAAUGCCGCGAUCAUAAUCAGCUCUUAUUCAAGGUAGAUGAUAGGUGCCACCGUAUCUACGCCAAGGUUUUUUUUUCUCUUGUCUAGAUCUUUUAAUGGCCAGUGGGUCCUUGUGAUCAUGGCCAAUGGCUUGAGCCGGAUACCAACGACUAUGGCACCUGUCGCCCUUUGCCUUGCCCAGUAAGCAAAUGCAACGGUCGCCAGAUCUACUGGAAGUCAACACUAAAUUCUGAAGGUAGCUGUUAUAAAUCGUUCACACGUGGGCCUGCAGGCGAAGUAGCUAUUUCCUCGUUGAAGAAUAUGGCACUCGAAGAGGUCGAUGUGUUUCUCAAUUUGGAUCAUCCUAUGAAUCCUAUGUCCUUCCGUCACGCUAUCCCAGGAUGAGGAACCCUUACGACAUGAUGUACUCCAACAACGUGAUGAGCCCAUGAUCGAAAUUUGGCAUGUAUCCGCCGUUUGGCAUGCAGGAAGAUUAGCGGAGACGACUAUCCUGACAUUCCUAGUUUCGAUUACUGAACUAGAAACAGUUUUACAGAACCAUUCACAUGGUUUUGUCUCUAUUAUUUCAUUUUAAAAAUGCGAUUGCAAAUUUUCUAUUGUGACGUAUGGCGGAUAAAAAACAACCUUAAUUAGUUUUAAUGCAUGAAUUCGUUUGCCAAUAAUAUGUGUAUGAAGAAAAUGUUUUCACUUUGAAACAGAGUCAUGGAACCCAUCGGUUUCCAUGACUCUGCUUUGAAAGUUUGAACAGGGAUUUCUGUUUUACCUUUCUGCGAUGCGGCAACACAGCAUUGCAUGUCGAUCUGCGAACGUUUGACAACUCGCUGGUAUUGCAACAGGUUAAUAGUUUUGUGUCAAGUAAAUUUCAAGUGCGAGUAACUGCUGGAAGAUUGCAAGCGAAAUCUGCAUGUGUCGUGUCAUUGUUCUAAGUGUUGGAGACUUUUUUCGUUUUGAUUAGGCAUUCAUGUUUGGGAACAAUACCUGAAGUUGGAUAUCGCCUAGUGAUAUUUACAUAUUAAGUCCUAUUUUAAGACACUUGGGGCGAUACGUUUCGCAACAAAGAUCUAUACAGUACUCAAAAGAUGACCCACAAGCACUACGCCACCACGAUUGAGACAAGGUAAAACACAAAACUAUAAAGCGCCAUUUAUCAAUAAUGAAUGAAUUUCCUCAUUCUAACAAUAAUUUAAGAAAAUGUAAAUGUAUACUUAGCUGUGGUAAUUAUUUCGUUUACAUCGACUACACUUCAAUAAUUUACAAGUGGGAAAGUGUUGCCUAUAAGCAACAAGAAGGUAUUGUGCAUGUUUAUGAGCGAAUCAUGGCUUAAUGGGUGAGUGUCGGAUUGUACCGCUGGAUGUUUGUGGAUCAAAUACCAUCAAAGGUAAAAAGUA